GUGGAUUAGAUACCCGAGUAGUCCACGCUGUAAACGAUGUCAACUAGCCGUUGGUUCUAUAUACAGAAUUAGUGGCGCAGCUAACGCAUUAAGUUGACCGCCUGGGGAGUACGGCCGCAAGGUUAAAACUCAAAUGAAUUGACGGGGGCCCGCACAAGCGGUGGAGCAUGUGGUUUAAUUCGAUGCAACGCGAAGAACCUUACCUACCCUUGACAUCCAGAGAAUCUGUUAGAGAUAGUAGAGUGCCUUCGGGAACUCUGAGACAGGUGCUGCAUGGCCGUCGCCAGCU
rnacentral:rRNA from 1 species